AGCCAGACUCCUACGGGAGGCAGCAGUGAGGAAUAUUGGUCAAUGGGCGCGAGCCUGAACCAGCCAAGUCGCGUGAGGGAAGACGGUCCUAUGGAUUGUAAACCUCUUUUGUCGGGGAGCAAAAGACGCCACGCGUGGCGUUCCGAGAGUACCCGAAGAAAAAGCAUCGGCUAACUCCGUGCCAGCAGCCGCGGUAAUACGGAGGAUGCGAGCGUUAUCCGGAUUUAUUGGGUUUAAAGGGUGCGCAGGCGGAAGAUCAAGUCAGCGUUAAAAUUGAGAGGCUCAACCUCUUCGAGCCGUUGAAACUGGUUUUCUUGAGUGAGCGAGAAGUAUGCGGAAUGCGUGGUGUAGCGGUGAAAUGCGUAGAUAUUAGGAGGAACACCAGUGGCGAAGGCGACUUUCUGGACAGUAACUGACGUUGAGGCACGAAAGUGUGGGGAGCAAACAGGAUUAGAUACCCCUGUA
rnacentral:rRNA from 1 species